rnacentral:rRNA from 1 species
CAGGGAAUCUUGCGCAAUGGGCGAAAGCCUGACGCAGCGACGCCGCGUGGGGGAUGAAGGCCUUCGGGUUGUAAACCCCUUUCAGGAGGGAAGAAAAUGACGGUACCUCCAGAAGAAGCCCCGGCCAACUACGUGCCAGCAGCCGCGGUAAUACGUAGGGGGCGAGCGUUGUCCGGAUUUAUUGGGCGUAAAGGGCUCGUAGGCGGCUUGACAAGUCGAUCGUGAAAACUCAGGGCUCAACCCUGAGACGCCGGUCGAUACUGUCAUGGCUAGGGUCCGGUAGAGGAGAAUGGAAUUCCCGGUGUAGCGGUGAAAUGCGCAGAUAUCGGGAGGAACACCAGUAGCGAAGGCGGUUCUCUGGGCCGGUACCGACGCUGAGGAGCGAAAGCGUGGGGAGCAAACAGGAUUAGAUACCCCCGUAGUCC